UUGUAGCCCCGAUUGUAGUGAAAAUCCUUUUUAGAUUCGCCUUUUUGGCGAAGUAAAAAGAUUGCAGCGAAAAGCGGGAAAUAGC
rnacentral:sRNA from 1 species